rnacentral:lncRNA from 1 species
UAUUUUUACUUAUCCGAAUCGAAUCUGAACCUUGAACAAACUCCUGAAAAAUACAUUUAGAUUUAGGCUAAAUUACACAACACCCUCCUGUCAAUAUUCGCUUUUUCACGUUUUCUCCUGUCAUUAAAAAUCUACACUUUCUCCCCUUAAAAAAUAAAAAAUAUUCACAGAGGAGUACGAUGUGACGAAAUGACCAAAUUAUCCUCAUCUUCUUCAUCUCCUCCUCAAUCUUGCUCAUCCCAGCAGCGGAGGAGGGCGAGAGCGUGUAUCUAGGCAUGAACAGAAAGGUGGGUGAGGGCAAGGCGGCGAAGGGCGAGGCAGCGACCGAGGGCAUAUGUUGGCAUGGAUGAGAGUUUCAGGAUAUUUUGCAUAUAAAAAAUAAGAUAUAAACGAAACUCUAACAUAACACUGACGGCAGGGACUGAAUUGAACAUUUUUUAUUUUUUAAGGAAGCAAAGCGUAGAUUUUUGAAUGAUGGGGUAAGUAAAAAAGCGGGUAUUGAUAGGAGGGUUUUGUCACGUUCCGGAUUACUCAUUUCUCCGGGUUCGCUAACAGACCUGCCGUAUACGAAGCGAAAAAGUAGAAAUACCUGUAAUCAUACAAUACUACAGACAGUAGUAUAGAGCAGUUAGGAAAAUAAACCAUAUAAAAAAUGCGGUUCGAUACAUACAUGUCAUCCAGGUAUACGAACACUUG